AUGGUUGCACGUGACUUUGAUUUGAGGUUUGUUUAUGUGCAUCCUGGCUGGGAAGGAUCAGUCACAGAUGCAAGGGUUCUUCAAGAUGCACUUAACCAUGUAUUUCAGGUACCUCAUGGUAAAUAUUAUCUUGUAGAUGCGGGCUAUGCAAACACACCACAAUUUCUUGCCCCAUACCGUGGAACUAGAUACCAUUUGCAAGAACAAUCACAAGUACAUCAAAGGCCGUGGAAUCAUAGAGAACUAUUUAACCUUCUGCCUGCACAAUUACAGAAUCAUAUAGAGAGAAUUAUUGGCAUAGGGAAAAAGAGUUUUCCAGUUCUGAAAGUUGCUACACACUAUUCUCUACGAUUCCAGUGA
rnacentral:rRNA from 1 species